rnacentral:rRNA from 1 species
AAUGGGCGAAAGCCUGAUCCAGCAAUGCCGCGUGGAUGAAGAAGGUCUUCGGAUUGUAAAGUCCUUUCGGCGGGGACGAUGAUGACGGUACCCGCAGAAGAAGCCCCGGCUAACUUCGUGCCAGCAGCCGCGGUAAUACGAAGGGGGCUAGCGUUGCUCGGAAUUACUGGGCGUAAAGGGCGCGUAGGCGGACCACUCAGUCAGGCGUGAAAGCCCCGGGCUCAACCUGGGAACUGCGCUUGAGACUUGUGGUCUUGAGGGCGAGAGAGGGUGGUGGAAUUCCCAGUGUAGAGGUGAAAUUCGUAGAUAUUGGGAAGAACACCGGUGGCGAAGGCGGCCACCUGGCUCGCAUCUGACGCUGAGGCGCGAAAGCGUGGGGAGCAAA